rnacentral:rRNA from 1 species
CACAAGCGGUGGAGCAUGUUGGUUUAAUUCGACGCAACGCGAAGAACCUUACCAGGUCUUGACAUCCCGAUGCUUAUUUCUAGAGAUAGAAAGUUACUUCGGUACAUCGGUGACAGGUGGUGCAUGGUUGUCGUCAGCUCGUGUCGUGAGAUGUUGGGUUAAGUCCCGCAACGAGCGCAACCCCCAUUGUUAGUUGCCAUCAUUCAGUUGGGCACUCUAGCGAGACUGCCGGUAAUAAACCGGAGGAAGGUGGGGAUGACGUCAAAUCAUCAUGCCCCUUAUGACCUGGGCUACACACGUGCUACAAUGGUUGGUACAACGAGUUGCGAGUCGGUGACGGCGAGCUAAUCUCUUAAAGCCAAUCUCAGUUCGGAUUGUAGGCUGCAACUCGCCUACAUGAAGUCGGAAUCGCUAGUAAUCGCGGAUCAGCACGCCGCGGUGAAUACGUUCCCGGGCCUU